GAUGAACACUGGCGGCGUGCUUAACACAUGCAAGUCGAACGGAAAGGCCCAAGCUUGCUUGGGUACUCGAGUGGCGAACGGGUGAGUAACACGUGGGUGAUCUGCCCUGCACUUCGGGAUAAGCCUGGGAAACUGGGUCUAAUACCGGAUAGGACCACUUCUUGGAUGUUGUGGUGGAAAGUUUUUUCGGUGUGGGAUGAGCUCGCGGCCUAUCAGCUUGUUGGUGGGGUAAUGGCCUACCAAGGCGUCGACGGGUAGCCGGCCUGAGAGGGUGUACGGCCACAUUGGGACUGAGAUACGGCCCAGACUCCUACGGGAGGCAGCAGUGGGGAAUAUUGCACAAUGGGCGCAAGCCUGAUGCAGCGACGCCGCGUGGGGGAUGACGGCCUUCGGGUUGUAAACUCCUUUCGCUAGGGACGAAGCGUUUUGUGACGGUACCUGGAGAAGAAGCACCGGCUAACUACGUG
rnacentral:rRNA from 1 species